rnacentral:rRNA from 1 species
GGGCCCGCACAAGCGGUGGAGUAUGUGGUUUAAUUCGAUGCAACGCGAAGAACCUUACCAGGGUUUGAAAUCAUUUCAAAACUCCUUGAAAGAGGAGCCUCCUUCGGGAUGAAAUGACAGGUGGUGCAUGGCUGUCGUCAGCUCGUGUUGUGAAAUGUCGAGUUAAGUCUCGUAACGAGCGCAACCCAUGUCUCUUGUUGCUCACUGAGUGCUUAAGAGAGACUGCCGUCCAACAUCGGAGGAAGGUGUGGAUGAUGUCAAGUCAGCAUGCCCCUUACAUCCUGGGCUACACACGUACUACAAUGGUAAGGACAAUGAGCUGCGAUCCUGCGAAGGCUAGCC